rnacentral:lncRNA from 1 species
CAACUCAUGAGCAGGGCUGUUAGUAGCAGGGUUACUCGGGCUGUCUAAAUUUUUUUUAGGCAAUGACCUUGUCUGCGGUUGUUUGCAGCUCUUCCGCGCUUGCACUGUUUGGACGGAAAGGCAGGUUUCUGGAUGUGCUGCUCCCAGCUCUUCAGGAUCCUGCCUGACUCCCUGCUUUCUGCCAGGACGUGAACCUGUGCCACAACUGCACAAAAUCGGCUACCAAACCAAGUGUAGGAUAGCUCACCUGCUGCUGCUGAGGCCUAACAGCAGACUUCUAGGAAGGUGCAUGGUUCAUGCCCAGCUUUGAACAGACCUCUAGCACAUCUGCUGAAAUCAGCAGAAUGGAAAAACCUCUUUCUGCAGAUCAGACCUAUCCAGUGACAUGCAUUUCUACUCUUAGUCUGCUCAGUGAAGCACUCCUGUUGAUGAAAUCUGAAGUACAUGAUAAUACGACUGAAAUUCAUUAUCAAGCAAAUACAGUGUGGUAAGCUUUUCAGAAAUUCAUCAUAAAGCAAUGUUGCCUUUUUCUCUGGCCUUACUCUAAAUGUGUUUUGCGCUCUUAUGCAAAGGACCUUCUGC